rnacentral:sRNA from 1 species
UAGAAGUAAAGAUGGCACUAAAUUCAGA